rnacentral:lncRNA from 1 species
GCCAGAUAUCGUCUGAACAAACCACUUUUCCUUCACUCUCUCUUGGCGGUCUAACACCACCAGGUGGGUUUAGAGCAUUUUGAAACGUCAUUGUUGUGAUUACAGUAGCCACCAAAGAAAGGUUACCUCUCAUAUCCUUCAACCAUUUAUCCUUAUCCUUGUGUGCCAGCCAAUUCCCUACAUUUUUCAGAGCUUUUCUCCACCCUUUUGACUCCUCUUUCUCCUCGCCUGCAACGUUCACCGUAAUUGAUGGAUCUCCCAUGCCUUCACCAAAUUAUAAAAACUAUUUAGAACUUUAAGUUGCAUGCAUGCAUGUAUUCAAAUAUGGAUUAUCAUAUUUCUUUUUUUAAUAACGUGAAACCAAAAAUCUCAUCAAUAAAAAUCUUUACACGACUUCACUUUAAAGUAAUAAAAAUCGUAUCGGCUUAACACCACUACUUCAACUUCACAUUAUAUUUUCAAUAGUAAAAAACGAACCAUUUUCACAAUGCAUCAAAAACCUUGUCUGUGGUUCAAAUGUAGAGUGAUUUGUCUUCUUUCAUGACACUUUAAAUUUAGGAUGAUUGUUUUUCAUGCAUAAAAAAAGAAGAAAGGUGAGAUGAAGCUAGCUAGAUAUAAAGUAGAGUAAAGAAGUAGAUGAAAGAUAAAAUAAAAUAUAGGAUUCAUUUGGUCUGACAUACCUUUGCUUGUUUUGGUAUGGUAGCUGGCAAAUCCAAGUGAAUGGUGAAGUUGAUUUUGAGGCCAUAUCUAUAUUUAUAGAUGGAAAGUUGUUGAUACAUAGAAAAAGAGGAUUAUUUUCUAAUUGUGGUAAAAUCCAUUAUUAAGUUUCUCUUAUUAUGGCAAGUUGCGACUUAAGAGUGAUGUAAUGUAAUAGACUAGUGUUCCUUAUAUACCCUACCAUUUAAUAUGUUAUUUCCCCUUAUAGAAAAAGGUAAGAUAAGGAUUUUUUUUUUAAAUAUAUUCAUCACGUGUUUGAUGGUUUGAAUAUAUUUAUGGAAAAAGAUAUUUUCACAAUAGUUUUACCUUAAACACACCUGGCAACACUUUUUCUAAUGAUAAAAUAUUAAAUUAAAUUAUUUAAUAAAAAAUUGUUGUAUAUUGUCAAUCUUUAUAUUUAUUGAAAAGUGGCCUUGGAAUAGAGUGCUUUUUUAUAUUGCCUUAACAAUUGCUUUUAUAUAACACCAGAAAGCAUACCCAUUGUAAAUAAAGUUGAGGAGCCACAGAAUAAAAACCACAAUUAGUGGUGGAAGAAUAUGUUCUCCUCCGGGAGCAUAAAGAGUCUCUUAUAAGAAAGAACCAAGAAAAAGAUAUGAAAUAAGCUCGUGAUUGUUCUUGAUUGUGAACUUGGGAGACUAAAAAAUAAAUAUAAUCAGUGAAAUGAAGAGCAAAAAAGUUGAAUGAAGUAGUUGGAGAAUCAAGAAUACAUAAUAGUCUUUUUCAUAUCCAACCAACUUGGAAGGCUUUGCAACCUUUAACUCCAAGCAAAGCUCGAAAGCCGUAUAAAUAUUCCAAACCACAAAGUACCCUCACCAAGCCAUUAUAGGGUGGACAGAUAAAAGGUUUGAAAUUUUAGGUCUAAAUUACUGAUUGCUAUAUAUCUUGUUAUUGUUAAAUUUAAGCUUACAAGAGGGAGUGUGAUUCGUUAGUUCCGUUUCUGUUUUUUUUUUGUUGUUGUGAAGGUUUGUAUGGGUUAGUAAGACAAGUGAUCAAAACAAUUUGCUUAAAGGUGUGUAGGUGGGUAGGAUGGAGGUUGAAGCUUGUGUUUUACAAUUUGCAGAUGACACUCUUUUUUAUGCGAAGAAUCCUUCUCAAAUGUCAUCAGCAUGAAAGUUAUCCUCAGGUAUUAUGAGCUCGCUUAUGGGAUGAAGAUAAAUUUCCACAAAUCUAAGCUGACAGGUAUUAAUGUCGAAAGCGCUUCUCUUGGUGUUUAUGCAAAAUCCCUACAUUGUAAUGUGAUGAGGUUACCCUUAAAGUAUCUGGGGCUAGAAGUGGAUGGUAAGCCGAGGAAUAAGCCUUUCUGAGAGCUUAUUCUGAAUAAAAUAAGUGUUAAACUAAGUGCAUGGAAGGAGAGAUUUUUAUCUCUGACAGAAAGAAUAUGUUUGGUUAAGUCGGUCUUCAUGUCAAUGGAGUAACUAAUUUUCGUUUUAUGCUUAUUGUUAAAUUCUUUCUGAUUAAUGGAGUCUUGAUUUUGAUCCUUAAAUUUAAUUGAAAAGUAUCUUUAAGGAUUUGAAAUAGAUGAAAAUAUUUCAUAACUUGUAAUGCUAGCAAUAGAUUUUAGGUUAUUAAUUGUAUCAUAAUUCUGUUCAUAAAGCUUGAUGAUUUGUUAAAUAUAUGAGGAAUCAGUGUUUGAGAAAUUUUCUAAUGAAUUUCAUCUGAGGAAUCAAGGUGAAUGACCUCAAAUUACAACUUGUUCCAACCAAGAUAAAUUAUUACCUUCUAAUUAAAGAACUUAGUAUUUUCUGUUUUGUCUUACUUUUCUUAAGGUUAAUCACAUCCCUCAUUCCUGUCUCAUUUUAUUAAUUAUUUUCUUAAUUUAAGAAUUAUUUGAUUUUGACUACAUGUACUAAAAUUUAUUAAAUUCUCCUUAAUAUUUCUUCUAAGUGAUGUAUUUAUUUCAUCUUGAUUGUGAAUAAAUCUAUACAAGAUCAAUAUUAUUUGCUAAUAUUCGUGUCUUAAUAUUCAUAGUUAGUCUUGGAUGACAAGUCUUAAGGGAUGAUACUUGUUUGUAUCACUGCACAACUCCUCAUGAACAAUAAGACUUGUUCAAGGUAGGUUAAAAUCCUAACUGCACUACAAGAAAUCAUCAAAUAAAAAAAAAUCAUUAAAUAAAAGCUAAUGUUAAAGUCAAAAAAUAAUUAGUUACUAUGUUGAUUAAAAAAUUAGAUAUUAUUUUAUAGACUAAAAAAAAUUAUCGGAAUCUAAAAUAAUUUCUCUUAUUAAUAAAAAAAUAUACAUUAGUUUCUAUUAUCACUACAUAGUCCCUUGGCCUUGAGUAUAUUAGUGAAGAAAAACAUUUUAUUAUAGUUCUACAAUAUUUUUUAUAACGAUUUUGAUGAUGAACAGAUUUAGGCGGUAUAAAAACUCUUGUAGUUUCUAUGUCAGUUGAAAAACUGUCUUAGUAAGUUUACUUACUAUGACUAUUGUAUAUAAACUAUUAUAAAUAUACAAAAUAUUUAUCAGUGUGUUCAAAUGAAAAUUUCUAUGACUAGUAUUUUCAUAACAAUCAUAUAAAAUAUAACUUAUUAUGAUAUUCAACAUUGCAAUUGUCAUAAGUCACUUUUUAUGACAAAUAUUUUUAGAACUAUAAUAAAAAAUAGAGUUAUUAUGAUAGGUAGAAUCACAAUAGUCAUAAUAAGUUAUUUUUAAAAAAUAUUGUUUAGCUUUAUCUAGUUUCCUCCAUUCAUUAAUAGUAUUAGCAACCUACAUAUAAUAAUAUAUAAUUUUCAUAUAAACCAAUUCUUGGAUAAUUAUUCGUUAUCCAAUAAACAUUGUAAAAAAAGGAUAAAUAUAAAAUUCAUAUAUUUAAAUAAACUAAAUAAUUUUGCAACCUUACAAAAACUAUAUUUUUAUCUUUCAUUAAAGAUGAAUAGUUAAAUAAAUAAAUAAAAUGACUUUUAAUACUCUUAUAGCAAAAAAAUCCAAAUUCCUCUUAGCAUCAUUCGUGCUUAGUCCCCUGUACUCCUUUUAAUACCAUGUCGUUUUAUUUGAUUAAAAUUUAUUCAAAGAACUUAUAUCUUUGAAUAAGCAUUCUGCAACAUUCAAAGAACUUAUAUCUAUUUGCCAAAUUUUAAUCAAUAAGCAUUCUGAUGUCCAAUCCAACACACCAAGAACAAUGAGAUAGCACAUGCAAACAUAACAUAACUACCUAUAUGCAUCCUUCUAGAAGAAAGAAAAUAAAACAUUUUGGAAAUAGAGCACAAACACAUUCAAUGCAAUUUCGACCAAAAUUACAGCUUACACUGAAGAUGAGUACAUUUUAUUUCUACCCUCUCCUAAUUCUUCUAUACCGCACAAUCCAAGCAUUAAGUUAAUCUUCAAGUUUUCAACUUUGAAACUUCCCAUCUACUACUCUUAACUUUGCAGUUUUUCUGGUUCGCCAUCCUCUAUCCAUUCAUUCAUUCAUUUAUCUUAUAAGAUUUCUUAGGUAAGAACAUUUGUUCCCGAUCACUCUUUGAAAAAUUUAGAUUAAUUAUGACAAAUUAAUCUAAUUUUAUGUUAAAAUCAUGUCAAUGUGAUACAAUUUUCACGUGAACUCAAUGUGAAAGUGAAGUCGUAUGAAUGUCACUAAAGUUCUUCAUGUAAAUUUGUUCAACUUGUAAUACUUAUUUUUGUCCAAAUUCACAAUUUAUGAUCUAAAUUGCACCACUUUGAUGCACAAAAAAACCCUUUUUAUGCUAUUGAAUCCAUGAUCAACAACUUUUGGAUAUCUUAACACGCAACUUCCAUUUUUAAUUCGACUAGCAAAGCCACAAUGCAGAAGAGCUUCUUCAUAACCAAAACAAUAAGGCGACAGAAGAUUGCCACACAUUAAAACACUAAAAAUAGUGGAACUCUUGUUUGCUUUAUGUAUCCAAUAAAGAGCAAGUCUUGUGUUGAGGUUGCAAUGAAACAUGAUAUAUGAACAUUGAAGCAUGCAAAAAGCAAAUAAUAGAAAUAUUUCAGAGAUACCUCUUAUAUAAUCAGGACAACUUAAAUUCUUUACAAGUACAACCACAUUGAAUCGAAUCCGAGUUCAAGCUGGACCACACUAUCACAAACACUAAGACUUCUUACACAAAGAAAACAAUAAACAGAAAACCUAUUACAAAACCAUCACCAGAAGUUUACCAACAAUAUAAUUACUGCAUAAUGUCCUUAGUAGGACUUUAGGUCUCUGAAGGUACAUAUUGCCCCAAUAGAUUGGAUAUGCCAUUAUUUCUCAGGUUUGGCAAACCAUUUAGUGAGAAUCCAAAUAAACAAGCGCAAGCAAAGAACAGAAGCGACGAGUACUAACAGUGCUAUCCAAAUUAUAAAAACAAUUCCAAACAUGGAGGUGGAAGUUGUCCAAAUAGGAUCAGGGGUGACCAUUUCAGCACCAUACUUGUAGGUAAGAGUAAGACUAGUGAUGGUGAUGCACAUGCCUAUUGACAAAAGCCAGGUGAAAAAUCUGUGCUCGAGAGGGAAUCCACUAACAAGCAAAAGACAAACAGCUGAAGAUGAUAUGAAACAUGUAGUGUUCCAAAUAAGGAAGUCGGUAUAAUCCUUUGACUGUGUAUAACCUAGGAUAGACUCUCCAGGACAUGGCCAGAGAUCGUCUGAACAACCCACUAUUCCUUGACUCUCUUUUGGCGGUCUAACACCACCAGGUGGGUUUAGAGCACUUUGAAAGGUCAUUGUUGCGAUUACAGUAGCCACCAAAGAAAGGUUACCUCUCAUGUCCUUCAACCAUUUAUCCUUAUCCUUAUGUGUCAUCCAAUUCCCUACAUUUUUCAGAGCUUUUCUCCACCCUUUUGACUCCUCUUUCUCCUCGUCUGAAAGGUUCACCAUAAUUGAUGGAUCUGCCAUGCCUUCACCAAAUUAUAACAACUAUUUACAACUGUAAGUUGCAUGCAUGUAUGCAUAUAUGGAUUAUCAUAUUUCUUUUUGUAAUAACGUGAAACCAAAAUCUCAUCACUUUAAAGUAAUAAAAAUCUUUACACCACUUCAACUCCACAUUAUAUUUUCAAUAGUAAAAAACGAUUCCAUUUUGAUAAUGCAUCAAAAACCUUGUUUGUAGGUUCAAAUGUAGAGUGAUUUGUCUUCUUUCAUGACAGUUUAAAUUUAUGAUGAUUUUUUUUCAUUCUUAAAAAAAGAAGAAAGGUGAGAUGAAGCUAGCUAGAUAUAAAGUAGAGUAAAGAAGUAGAUGAAUGAUAAAAUAAAAUAUAGGAUUCAUUGGUCUGACA